AGAUUGAACGCUGGCGGCAUGCCUAACACAUGCAAGUCGAACGGGAGUAGCAAUACUCUAGUGGCGGACGGGUGAGGAAUACGUAGGAAUUUGCCCUUAAGUGGGGGAUAACCCGGGGAACCCGGAUUAAUACCGCAUGACCUCGAAAGAGCAAAGUGGGGGAUCGCAAGACCUCACGCUUUUGGAGAAGCCUACGUCGGAUUAGCUAGUUGGUGAGGUAAUGGCUCACCAAGGCGACGAUCCGUAAUGGUCUGAGAGGAUGAUCAGUCACACCGGAACUGAGACACGGUCCGGACCCCUACGGGAGGCAGCAGUGGGGAAUAUGGGACAAGUGGGCGCAACGCCUGAUCCAGCAAUGCCGACGUGUGUGAAGGUAAGGCCGUUCGGUUAGUAAAGUACUAACGUUUAACGGUUAGGGAAGUAAAAAACGUCGACCUACUAACACAAGU
rnacentral:rRNA from 1 species